UAAAUAUGCAAAAAAUACAUGUAAAUAAAACCCAUGUGGGAUACAUAUGGAAGGAAGUGUGAGAAAAAGAGGACUGAGAAAAAUUUUUUUUUUGUUGGUACUAAAAUGAA